rnacentral:rRNA from 1 species
AGCAGCCGCGGUAAUUCCAGCUCCAAUAGCGUAUAUUAAAGUUGUUGCAAUUAAAAAAGCUCGUAGUUGAAUUUCGGGACCAAUAUGUCGGUCGUGCCUCGGUACGUACUGGUGUCAUUGGUUUCUCCCUUCUGAGGAUCCUUGAUGUCAUUAAUUUGGUGUCUUGGGGAAUCAGGACUGUUACCUUGAAAAAAUUAGAGUGUUUAAAGCAGGCAUACGCUUGAAUACAUUAGCAUGGAAUAAUGAAAUAGGACGUUCGAUUCUAUUUUGUUGGUUUCUAGGAUCGACGUAAUGAUUAAUAGGGAUAGUUGGGGGCAUUAGUAUUCAAUUGUCAGAGGUGAAAUUCUUGGAUUUAUUGAAGACUAACUACUGCGAAAGCAUUUGCCAAGGAUGUUUUCAUUAAUCAAGAACGAAAGUUAGGGGAUCGAAGACGAUCAGAUACCGUCGUAGUCUUAACCAUAAACUAUGCCGACUAGGGAUCGGAUGAUGUUAAUUUUUAAUGACUCAUUCGGCGCCUUAA